rnacentral:rRNA from 1 species
AGGGUGAUCGGCCACACUGGGACUGAGACACGGCCCAGGCUCCUACGGGAGGCAGCAGUAGGGAAUCUUCGGCAAUGGGGGAAACCCUGACCGAGCAACGCCGCGUGAGUGAAGAAGGUUUUCGGAUCGUAAAGCUCUGUUGUUAAGGAAGAACGUGUGUGAGAGUGGAAAGUUCACACAGUGACGGUACUUAACCAGAAAGGGACGGCUAACUACGUGCCAGCAGCCGCGGUAAUACGUAGGUCUCGAGCGUUGUCCGGAUUUAUUGGGCGUAAAGCGAGCGCAGGCGGUUAGAUAAGUCUGAAGUGAAAGGCAGUGGCUCAACCAUUGUAGGCUUUGGAAACUGUUUAACUUGAGUGCAGAAGGGGAGAGUGGAAUUCCAUGUGUAGCGGUGAAAUGCGUAGAUAUAUGGAGGAACACC